rnacentral:tRNA from 1 species
GGGGAUUUAGCUCAGUGGCAUAAGCACCUGCCUUGCAAGCAGGCAAUCAAUCGUGAGUUCGAUCCCCG